GGGCCUCCCAGGCCCUAGCCAGCUAUGCCACCACCUUCAGCCUUUUAUUUUCUUUUUUUAUUUUUUUUUAAUUACUGAGGGAAAAUAUAAACAUAAGCAAAAAAAAAAAAAGCCUCCCCUGCAGGCGCGAGCGGGGGUGGCGAGGAGGCCGACGAAGGCGGUAAUGCAACCCUAAUGCAUAGAUAGCUGACAUCAACUUCCGUCAGGCAGCUCCUGGAGAUCGAACCUUUCGAUUGUAACUGGGACAAUUUGCAUAGUGAUUCCCUUUCAGAGCUUUCCCGGGUCCAUAACAAGCCCAGGCAGCUAUUCAAAUGCAAGUUGCAUCCCCAAAUGCGAGGCUGGCCUGACCAAAAAGAGCCAGUCGGCGCCCGGAAGAGGCGAGACUCGCGCUUGGGUUCUCAAUCCUUCUCUUUUCUCCUUUCUUUUUCCCUUUCUCCUCUCCGGUUCCUGAUUUAGCUGGGAGCUGUUUAUUUAUGGCUGCAAAUGUGUGUGUUCAAGAGAGAGAGGGAAUUGAUCUUUGCCUGGACUUAAAGAUGGAGCCGAAGAAGCUGGAGGGAAUUUGGGCUUGUGCGUCUGGCCCAGACCCUGUGCGCCGAGCCCGAGGUCUAUCCUCCCCGCACCUCUCACCUCGCGACCUUGCAGGAAUCCGCGGGCCCGGAUGCUGCCCAGCUGACCCUCCUGCCCCGGGCCUGGCUGCAGAGAAAGUCUUCGGGCAGGAGGCCAUCCUGUUCCUGUCUUUAAAAUGAGCACAAUAAAAGGGGGCAAAUCCUCGAACGCGAACCUGAUCUCAUGUCACAGAAGCAACUUGCCAUGAAAUCCGCUAAUGCGCUGCGACUCGCCCACCAGGGCAGCGUGCGGCGGCCGAACUGCACCUGCGUUUGUGAGCCUUGUAGAAAUGGAGCCCACCGGAUUCCCUCACCCGGAGAAAUGCCCAAACUGAAACUUGACUACACUUCCCUGGGCUGGUUCACGGUUUCAUAAUCUCCCAGGUUUGCUGGCUGUGUCACCAAAUCCAAGCCAAACCUGCUAUAAACAUGAUCACAGGCCACUGACCUCGCAGCACUGACCGAUAACUCGGUGGCAAAAUCAGCUCCUCUGGUCAGAGGUUAUUAAAGCAGCGGCUGAAUUCGUGUUUGUUUUUUUGAAGUGGUCAGAAAAACGUAGUCUUCUUAAACCUACAAAAACAGUCAAACACAUUUGCAAAUGUGCUUUACUUGUAUUGGUUCGAGUGCUGGAAGCUGUCUGGCGGUGAGCUUUUUCGUUGCGUGUGGUUUAUGCAGAGCACCCGGGAUGUUUUUCUCGUCUUUUACGUCUUGGUAUCUUUUAAAAAUGUAGAAUGUGUCUCUGAUUGUUUCACAGUAUGUUCCUUAACAACCAGAUAUGUAAGAAAACGUUUGGGAUUGAGUGGUGAGAAAAGCAGACUGGAAAGUACAAAUAAACCCAAUCCAAAUGGAAAACAAAUUAAACAGAUGAAAUGAUUAUGAAAGAAGAUGGGGGAAUUAACUUGUCUGGAAAAAAUCGAGUUUAGGGUCUGAACUUUACAGAUUAAAUGGCAACACAGAACAAAUCCAAAGGAAUUAAAUCUAUUCUUUUGCCCUCCUAGGCAUCUGGGUCAGAUGCACAUUUUGAGGCAUUUCAACAGACAGAUCAGCUCUGGGACACUUGCACACUUUUUUGGUAAACUGCAACCUAUUACGUGACCUUUAAUCCUGGUGGAAAACAAUUUAAAAUGUAUUCCUGGCUUUAGGAAACAAAAGAAAAAUUUUAAACCCUGGCAGUUAAAUUAUUACUGGUCUCUACAGGGUUAAUUUAAUGUAAAUAAUCUACUCUCCUGAGGGAAAAGGUGGAGGCCUGGCAUUCUGGAAGGGCCAGUCAGGUGGUGACAAAACUGUGUGCCUUGGGGUUUUGAGGGGUGUGUUGGGUGGCUCUGAACCUGGCUUUGGGUUUGUUACAUCUCUCGCUCUCUUAAAACAGUAACUCAAGAUGUAAGUAAAAGUGUUUUCAUUUUUUAUUGAUCCUGCUAACAUCUUUCAUUAUCCAGCAUGUAGCCACAGCAAAUUAUUGCUCAUUUGAUACUGAGAAUUCUAUUGACCAUCGCUUUCGUUGGAGAGAGAAUUCUAACUACUCGGCUGCUCUGUCAUCAGUCAGAGCUAAGGCUGAGGACUUUCCACCACUAAAACCAAAAUAAAUUGAGCCUUCUGCCUCCAGAAA
rnacentral:lncRNA from 1 species